UACGGAGGGUGCAAGCAUUAAUCGGAUUUAUUGGGCGUAAAGGGCGCGUAGGCGGGGAUAUUAGUCAGAUGUGAAAUCCUGGGGCUCAACCUCAGAACUGCAUUUGAAACUGUAUCUCUAGAGGGUAGGCGGAGAAAGCGGAAUUCCACAAGUAGCGGUGAAAUGCGUAGAUAUGUGGAAGAACACCGGUGGCGAAGGCGGUUUUCUAGCUUAUUCCUGACGCUGAAGCGCGAAAGCAAGGGGAUCAAACAGG
rnacentral:rRNA from 1 species